GGGAGCGCGGCCGCGUUCCGGGCCGCACGGUGCGGCUGGGGCCGCCGGGCCGCCCGCGUCACCCCCUGCGCGAGCUCCCCGGAGGCGGUGGGGAGCGGCUUGUGGCCGGUGUUGCUGGCCGGAGGCGGCCGCUCAGGAGUUUUUAGACUGCAGCAAAAUGCAGAUGACUUGACCGUGAAAACUUUUGUCGUCUCUGAAAGUAAUAUUUUAUGAGCUACAGUUUUAUCAGUGCUGCGUGCUCUUACUUCAGCACAUUAUCCAUCUUGUGUGGAGCUGCAGGUGGAGCCAAAAUCUGCUGCUGCUUCCCACACAAUCCAGUGGCACCAGUGUCCCUGCCCGGUCCAGCCACCUUGGGGAAGGAAUGAAGAACCUGCUGAAGGUGGAUCUUCAUCGGGGUGGGACAAGUGAGGAUGUGAGCUGAAGGUGAACCAGGAUUGGAUCCAGCACCCUGCAGGAUCAGACACUGAACCAUCUGGAACAUCCACCUCCAAACCUGGAGCUGCAAACCCACUCCUGCAGCCAGCAACCCUGCAAGUCCAGCAGGUAAUCCCAGCCAGAGCCCAGCAGAGCCAGGAGGCCCCAGAUCCACUGCACAUUCCCAGCCUGGACAUGUGGAACAUCAGCCAGUGUCACCACAGGCACCUGGGGGACACU